rnacentral:rRNA from 1 species
UGCAAGUCGAGCGAAUGGAUUGAGAGCUUGCUCUCAAGAAGUUAGCGGCGGACGGGUGAGUAACACGUGGGUAACCUGCCCAUAAGACUGGGAUAACUCCGGGAAACCGGGGCUAAUACCGGAUAAUAUUUUGAACUGCAUGGUUCGAAAUUGAAAGGCGGCUUCGGCUGUCACUUAUGGAUGGACCCGCGUCGCAUUAGCUAGUUGGUGAGGUAACGGCUCACCAAGGCAACGAUGCGUAGCCGACCUGAGAGGGUGAUCGGCCACACUGGGACUGAGACACGGCCCAGACUCCUACGGGAGGCAGCAGUAGGGAAUCUUCCGCAAUGGACGAAAGUCUGACGGAGCAACGCCGCGUGAGUGAUGAAGGCUUUCGGGUCGUAAAACUCUGUUGUUAGGGAAGAACAAGUGCUAGUUGAAUAAGCUGGCACCUUGACGGUACCUAACCAGAAAGCCACGGCUAACUACGUGCCAGCAGCCGCGGUAAUACGUAGGUGGCAAGCGUUAUCCGGAAUUAUUGGGCGUAAAGCGCGCGCAGGUGGUUUCUUAAGUCUGAUGUGAAAGCCCACGGCUCAACCGUGGAGGGUCAUUGGAAACUGGGAGACUUGAGUGCAGAAGAGGAAAGUGGAAUUCCAUGUGUAGCGGUGAAAUGCGUAGAGAUAUGGAGGAACACCA